AGUGGCGAACGGGUGAGUAAUAUAUCGGAACGUAUCCAAUAAUGGGGGAUAACUAAUCGAAAGGUUAGCUAAUACCGCAUACGCCCUACGGGGGAAAGCAGGGGAUCUUCGGACCUUGCGUUAAUGGAGCGGCUGAUAUCUGAUUAGCUAGUAGGUGAGGUAAAGGCUCACCUAGGCUUCGAUCAGUAGCUGGUCUGAGAGGACGACCAGCCAUACUGGAACUGAGACACGGUCCAGACUCCUACGGGAGGCAGCAGUGGGGAAUUUUGGACAAUGGGCGCAAGCCUGAUCCAGCCAUUCCGCGUGAGUGAAGAAGGCCUUCGGGUUGUAAAGCUCUUUCGCAAGGGAAGAAACGAUACCGACGAAUAAUCGGUGUUAAUGACGGUACCUUGAUAAGAAGCACCGGCUAACUACGUGCCAGCAGCCGCGGUAAUACGUAGGGUGCGAGCGUUAAUCGGAAUUACUGGGCGUAAGGCGUGCGCAGGCGGUUUUGUAAGUCAGAUGUGAAAUCCCCGGGCUCAACCUGGGAACUGCGUUUGAAACUACAAGGCUAGAGUAUGGUAGAGGGGGGUAGAAUUCCACGUGUAGCAGUGAAAUGCGUAGAGAUGUGGAGGAAUACCAAUGGCGAAGGCAGCUCCCUGGACUAAUACUGACGCUCAUGCACGAAAGCGUGGGGAGCAAACAGGAUUAGAUACCCUGG
rnacentral:rRNA from 1 species